UCUGGUUCAGGACGAACGCUGGCGGCGUGCCUAAUACAUGCAAGUCGAACGGUCUUUCUAUGGAAGCUUGCUUCCACUGAGAAGAUAGUGGCGAACGGGUGAGGUAACACGUGGGUAACCUGCCCAUAAGAGGGGGGAUAACAUCCGGAAACGGGUGCUAAUACCGCAUAGUUUUCUUGAUCGCAUGAUCGGGAAAGGAAAGACGGCCUUUGUGCUGUCGCUUAUGGAUGGACCCGCGGCGUAUUAGUUAGUUGGUGAGGUAACGGCUCACCAAGACGAUGAUACGUAGCCGACCUGAGAGGGUGAUCGGCCACAUUGGGACUGAGACACGGCCCAAACUCCUACGGGAGGCAGCAGUAGGGAAUCUUCCGCAAUGGACGAAAGUCUGACGGAGCAACGCCGCGUGAGUGAAGAAAAGGUUUUCGGAUCGUAAAACUCUGUUGUCAGAGAAGAACAAGUUGGAGAGUAACUGCUCCAGCCUUGACGGUAUCUGACCAGAAAGCCACGGCUAACUACGUGCCAGCAGCCGC
rnacentral:rRNA from 1 species